UGGGGAAUAUUGCACAAUGGGCGCAAGCCUGAUGCAGCCAUGCCGCGUGUAUGAAGAAGGCCUUCGGGUUGUAAAGUACUUUCAGCGGGGAUGAAGGGAGUAAAGUUAAUACCUUUGCUCAUCGACGUUACCCGCAGAAGAAGCACCGGCUAACUCCGUGCCAGCAGCCGCGGUAAUACGGAGGGUGCAAGCGUUAAUCGGAAUUACUGGGCGUAAAGCGCACGCAGGCGGUCUGUCAAGUCGGAUGUGAAAUCCCCGGGCUCAACCUGUGAACUGCAUUCGAAACUGGCAGGCUAGAGUCUUGUAGAGGGGGGUAGAAUUCCAGGUGUAGCGGUGAAAUGCGUAGAAAUCUGGAGGAAUACCGGUGGCGAAGGCGGCCCCCUGGACAAAGACUAACGCACAGGUGCGAAAGCGUGGGGAGCAAACAGG
rnacentral:rRNA from 1 species